ensembl:lncRNA
GAGAAGCUGCUGAUACAGACAACCACAAGACUUUAACGACUCAGAAACUCUAAAAUAUUAAUAAUACAAAGGAAAAUUCCCUUUGACUUAAGCUGUGGCCCAUGCUUCUAAUGCUACGGCUUUUCGGAGCAGAAGACCUGGACCAAGCAGAGAGACAAUCUUUGGGAUGGGAGCUUUGGGACGGGAGGAGCUAAGGUGGUGCUCAGUGGCUGCUGUGUGUGCCUAUUACCCCAGAAGCUCACCACAGGCACAUGCCAGGACCGCAUGGCUGCGCUCAGCAAAGAAAUGAUGCCGGAGCAGCGCCCUUGCCUCCACUUCUUCCCCAUUUCCUCCACUUCAGGACAAUGUUCUAAUUUGUCCAUUCUAAAAAGUGUAAUCUUGAUGCUUUUGGGAAUCGACGAUGGCACCUAUGGGUAAACAUAGAACAGACAACCCCACAACACAAAACCAUGACAAGAGCUGACCGCAUGCAUCCUGGGUGUAAGCUUCUUGCUGGAGUUUCAAAGGAUGUGUCUUUCUAUUCUCAGAACUUAAAGAAUUGGACUUUCUGGACUAAAAGAACCACAGAAGAAAAAAUAACUGAAACCUGGACCCUGCCAAGACACUGCCACCUGUCUUUUCCAUCAUUGCAAAGAUUCCUUGGCCUCACCUCCCACUUUCAGGCCCCUGGGAAGCUUAGGAGGUUAAGAAAUAGGUCCCCCAUGUUAUCUUUGAAUGUAGACACAGCAGGCUUUAGGGUUGCAAUAGCAAGAGACAUGGUUGCUUGUAGGUCGUUAUAACAAAUGCCCCCUGGUCCUCUCAGUUUCUCAUCCUGCUUCCCUAGAUCCUAGACCACGCUUCCUGGGUCUCUGCGGAGUCCCAGGUAAACCCCACUGCCAGGGAAGGGAGCCAGGUCUAGUGAGAGGCUGGAGCAGUGAGUGUUUCAGAAAAUCAAGCAGUGGAGUGGGUGAGAGCCAGCAGGGGAGGAUCUACUUGGCACCUGCGCCAGGCCCCUUGGCAUUCUCCUCACGUUUCCAGCCCCUGGGAGGAUUGAUGCAUCUGCCUUUGAGCUGUUGUGAAAACGCAGGGGCUGAGAAAUCACUUUUGUGGGCUGGGGUAGGGGGAAGGGCUGAGGCUUCUCUGGGAGAUGUCCAAUGAGGAGGGUCCAGUGCUGCAGGCUUGGCAUCUUAACGAGGCCUGAGCCCUGACUGAAGAGAAGGAAGGAAACAUCUAGGCUGGGGCCAGCUCCCUCUGCUUCAGCACUGGGGAAUCACUGCCUUCCUGGCUGCUGCCACAGACCACAGUGGGGCUGACCUCUGGGCCUCCCUGUCACAUGAAACAUGGAAGCCAACAGCCUGGCCCCACAGAGCUCCUCUGCUGGGGAGGAGAGGAUGUACUCCUCCCAGGCCACUGGGCCCCUCCACCUUGCCCCAAGCACAGAGCUACCUAAUGGACUGACCUUUGCCAAACUGGAACUCACCUCCUGGGGGCCUCUGGCCUACCCUUUUCGCUGCCAGCUGAAAAGACUGCCAGCAGCCUGGACGUCCUGGUUAGCUGAAAUCAGCUGAAACGUGGGCCUCCCUAUGUGGGGUUUAGGACUGAAUUGUGUGUUUGUGGUUUUGCUUCUUUUUGUAGACCCACAGAUAUUUUUAUUUGAAUAGUAAAGAGCUGUGC